rnacentral:rRNA from 1 species
AGUUAACGUGGGCGGCGUGCCUAACACAUGCAAGUAGGAACGCGUUCCGGGGGCAACUCCGGGAUGAGUGGCGAACGGGUGAGUAACACGUGGGUAAUCUUCCUUCAAGUGGGGAAUAAGCUCUCGAAAGGGAGUCUAAUACCGCAUGACUUUCCGGGACAUAAGUCCCGUAAUUAAAGCCGCAAGGCGCUUGAAGAUGAGCCUGCGUCCUAUUAGCUAGUUGGUAGGGUAACGGCCUACCAAGGCUCAGAUGGGUAGCCGGCAUGAGAGGGUGAACGGCCACACUGGGCAUGAGACACGGCCCAGACUCAUACGGGAGGCAGCAGUGAGGAAUUUUGCGCAAUGGGGGAAACCCUGACGCAGCGACGCCGCGUGGAGGAUGAAGGCCUUCGGGUCGUAAACUCCUGUCAGAGGUGAAGAAUACCCGCAAGGGUUUGACGGUACCUCAGAGGAAGCCCCGGCCAACUACGUGCCAGCAGCCGCGGUAAUACGUAGGGGGGCAAACGUUACUCGGAAUUACUGGGCGU